AUGAGCAAGAACCACUGGCACCAAAGGAGAAGAAAUCCUGCCACAAUCCGGGACAGAAUGAAGGAGGCAAGGAGAGACGGAGAGAAUGCUGAUAACCUACCCUCAGUGUGCUUUCUCUUGGUUCUUAUUGGCGAAGUCACUGAUUGGGAUCCAGAACCAGCCUCUUCCAACAUUCUUCAGCUUACGGCUGGGCAGCGAGUCGUGAAGAAGGUUUCUAGUUCGGGCAGCCUGGGUGACUCAACGAUUUAGCACCUGCCUUCAGCCCAGGGUGUGAUCCUGGAGUCCCAGGAUCGAGUCCUGCAUUGGGCUCUCUGCAUGGAGUCUGCUUCUCUCUCUCUGUAUCUCUCAUGAAUAAAUGAAUAAAAUAUUUUUUUAAAAAAGUUUCU
rnacentral:lncRNA from 12 species